rnacentral:SRP_RNA from 1 species
CCGCGCAGCCGGGGAGUUAGCGGUGCCCUGUACCUGCAAUCCGCUACAGCAGGGGUGAUGCCAAUCCGAGGACUGUAUUCUGCAGAGCUGCCCUUUAUAAGUGGCGUUGACGUCCGGGUCUCGCGCAACAGGAAUCUGUGAACCGUGUCAGGGCAGGAAUGCAGCAGCACUAAGCAGACGCUCCUGUGUGCCGCGAGGGCGCCUGGGCCGAGUUAACUGUAAAGGUAACGUCUGUGGAAGCAUUUCGAAGUGCGG